rnacentral:siRNA from 1 species
AGAGAAAGGACCAUCCUACAACA